AGUCUGUCUUCCAUGGCAGGCGACGCUUGAUUGAUGCUGGGAGAAGAUUCCUUUGGAACUCAACCAGCAGCCGUUAUGCCCGCAUUUCGGCCCACAGAUCAUCUUCAGGCGGUCUCCCCUCCCCGAGGGAUUAAGAUAUGACCGGUCCCACCUGGCAAUGGGUGGGAUCUUCGUUCCGUAGGUGAACAGGUUUGCCUACCGCAUUCAUUCAAUGCGCGGUCUGCACCGACGUUAUGGUGCAGGCAACAUCGUCCAAAUGCUGAGCGUGCCCGGCGGAAGCCUAUAACAAUCAGCAGCCAGUGCCCGUCGUCGGCCUGGUGCACAGAUCAACCGACGAUGACCCGUAGAGGUUGAGAUAUGAUCGGUCCCGGCCUGGAAGAGGCCCGGAGUCGCGGAACCUGCGGAAGGAUCAUUACCGAGAGCUUGGGGUCUAACCGGCCCCUCUCUUCACCCGUGUCUACAAAAACAAAUGUUGCUUUGGCGGGCCAGGGCCCCGUCCCUGGAUGGGCUUAACCUUCCCACUCGGUGCCCGCCGAAGGUACAACCAAACUCUGUUAUCAGUGUCGUCCGAGUAUACAUAUAAUAAACUAAAACUUUCAACAACGGAUCUCUUGGUUCCCGCAUCGAUGAAGAACGCAGCGAAAUGCGAAAAUUAAUGUGAAUUGCAGAAUUCCGUGAAUCAUCGAGUCUUUGAACGCACAUUGCGCCCUUUGGUAUUCCGAAGGGCAUGCCUGUUCGAGCGUCAUUGCACCUCUCAAGCACUGCUUGGUAUUGGGCCGCGCCCCCGUGGCGUGCCUGGAAUUCAGUGGCGGUCCAGCGAGACUUCAAGCGUAGCAAGAUUUCACGAUCCCGCUUUGGAAGGUUCCUGCUGUGUGCCGGCCAGACAACCCCAUUAUUUAUCAAUGGUUGACCUCGGAUCAGGUAGGGAUACCCGCUGAACUUAAGCAUAUCAAUAAGCGGAGGAAAAGAAACCAACAGGGAUUGCCUCAGUAACGGCGAGUGAAGCGGCAACAGCUCAAAUUUGAAAUCUGGCCUCUUCGGGGUCCGAGUUGUAAUUUGUAGAGGGUGUUUCGGGCGAGGCGCCGGCCUAAGUUCCUUGGAACAGGACGUCAUAGAGGGUGAGAAUCCCGUAUGCGGCUGGCGACCGAGUUCAUGUGAAACCCCUUCGACNAGUCGAGUUGUUUGGGAAUGCAGCUCAAAAUGGGUGGUAAAUUUCAUCUAAAGCUAAAUACUGGCGGGAGACCGAUAGCGCACAAGUAGAGUGAUCGAAAGAUGAAAAGCACUUUGGAAAGAGAGUCAAACAGUACGUGAAAUUGUUGAAAGGGAAGCGCUUGCAACCAGACCUGUGCUCGGGUAAUCAGCCUCCGGUCUCCGGGGGUGCACUUGCCCGUUUGCAGGCCAGCAUCGGUUCGGGCGGUAGGAAAACGUCGCGGGAAUGUAGCUCCCUUCGGGGAGUGUUAUAGCCCGUCGUCAUAUGCUGCCAGUCCGGACCGAGGACCGCGCUUCGGCUAGGAUGCUGGCGUANUGGU
rnacentral:rRNA from 1 species